AUUGAACGCUGGCGGCAUGCCUAACACAUGCAAGUCGAACGGCAGCACAAUAAAGAUUUCGGUCUUUAUGGGUGGCGAGUGGCGGGCGGGUGAGUAACGCGUAGGAAUCUGUCCUGGAGAGUGGGAUAACCCGAGGAAACUCGGGCUAAUACUGCAUGACAUUGAGAGAUCAAAAGCAGGGGACCGAAAGGCCUUGCGCUCUGGGGUGAGCCUACGUCGGAUUAGCUAGUUGGUGGGGUAAAGGCCUGCCAAGCCGACGAUCCGUAGCUGGUCGGAGCGGAUGACCAGCCCCACUGGGACUGAGACACGGCCCAGACUCCUACGGGAGGCAGCAGUGGGGAAGCUUGGACAAGUGGAGACACCCUGGUCCAGCGAUGCCGCGUGUGUGAAGAAGGCCUUCGGGUUGUAGAGCACUUUAGGUGGGGAAGAAAGGUAGCGAGUGAAAAACUUUCUGCUGUGACGGUACCCACUGAAUAAGCACCGGCUAACUCUGUGCCAGCAGCCGCCGUAA
rnacentral:rRNA from 1 species